UGAGGAAUUUUCCGCAAUGGGCGAAAGCCUGACGGAGCAAUCCCGCGUGGAGGACGACACCCCUCGGGGCGUAAACUCCUUUUCUGAGGGAAGAAAUUUUGACGGUACCUCAGGAAUAAGCACCGGCAAACUACGUGCCAGCAGCCGCGGUAAUACGUAGGGUGCAAGCGUUAUCCGGAAUCAUUGGGCGUAAAGCGAUCACAGGUGGACAAGCAGGUCUGGUGUUAAAUACCCACGGCUCAACCGGGGUGCUGCAUCGGAAACCGCUUGACUAGAGGAAGACAGAGGCAGGUGGAAUUUCCAUUGUAGGGGUUAAAUCCGUAGAUAAUGGAAGGAACACCAAAAGCGAAGGCAGCCUGCUGGGUCUUUCCUGACACUGCUUGAUCGAAAGCGUGGGGAGCGAAAGGG
rnacentral:rRNA from 1 species